GUGACCCAUGAUGCGAGAAGGGAGGGCCAGGCUUGGUGUGGGGAAAGGACACGGUCUGAGGCUGUGAUUUUGGGAAGUAACUGAGCUCUCCUGAGGAGCUGGUCUGGCAGCACCAUAUUAAGCACGGUGAAGACAGACCAGAGACCCCUGGGCACAAAAGCACCGGCGUGUCGCAGUGUCUACUGUAGGACAGACCCACAAAGCCACACGGGAAUGGCAGCCAUGAGCUGGGACAAACGACACCACAGCCAUCCUGCAGGCUCUGUGGGAGGAAACGCCGCUAAGUGGCCCCACGUCCCGCGAAGGAUGAUGUUUGUCUCUCAGAGGGUCAACACGGGCAACUAGACGAAUGGCAGCAAGGUACUUGAGGGUUUGCUUAUGCUCUUUUAGAAAUGAAACAGACCCUGAAACCUCUGUAGAACUGUCUCCCACAGCAGAACGUUCCCUGAACUGUUCAUAAACAAAUUUUGCCAUAUUAAAAGCCAAACAAGCACAAAA